AGAGUCGACCAGGUAAUCGCUGUUGUCUUUUACAGAUAGAUAGCAGAGGAAAGUCCGGGCUCCAGAGGGCAGGGUGCCAGGUAACACCUGGGGGGCGUGAGCUCACGGCAAGUGCAACAGAAAAUAUACCGCCAUAUCAGAAUCUGGUGUGGUAAGGGUGAAAUGGUGCGGUAAGAGCGCACCGCGCCUGUGGUAACACAGCGUGGCAAGGUAAACCCCAUCCGGAGCAAGACCAAAUAGGAAUCCAGAUAUUAUGGCCCGUAAUUGGGUUCGGGUAGGUCGCUAUAGGUACAGGGUGACUUGUAUCACAGAUGAAUGAUUACCCAUGACAGAACCCGGCUUAUCGGUCGGCUCUCACC
rnacentral:RNase_P_RNA from 1 species